rnacentral:rRNA from 1 species
GACGAACGCUGGCGGCGUGCCUAAUACAUGCAAGUCGAGCGAGCUUGCCUAGAUGAUUUUAGUGCUUGCACUAAAAUGAAACUAGAUACAAGCGAGCGGCGGACGGGUGAGUAACACGUGGGUAACCUGCCUCAUACAGGGGGAUAACAGUUAGAAAUGACUGCUAAUACCGCAUAAGCGCACAGUGCUGCAUGGCACAGUGUGAAAAACUCCGGUGGUAUGAGAUGGACCCGCGUCUGAUUAGCUAGUUGGUGGGGUAACGGCCUACCAAGGCGACGAUCAGUAGCCGGCCUGAGAGGGUGAACGGCCACAUUGGGACUGAGACACGGCCCAA